UAUUUAUAUUGACAACAUUUUUUAAAUGUUUGAUCGUUAAAUUUAUACAAAUUAAUAAAAAUUAUUUUAACUUAAAAUAACUUAUAACUAGGACUAUCAAUUUAUAGACAGCAUAUAUAAAUUUAUAUUAUAAUUCAUAAGAUGUAUUUAUAAUUUAAAAUUCCGAUAUAGAUAUUUAAAAGACAUGACGCUUGUUCAUAAUCAUACACGCAAACGUUAGAAAUGAUAACGUUUCGUCUGUCCGGUGACUCGCACAAUCGUAAAUCAGUAAUCUUGUGUAAUAAAUUGUAACCAAAUACGGAACAAUCGACAUUCUGCGGACACACGAAGAUAGUGCAACACCUGCGUCAUGCCCUCAACAUAGCCGCAUCAGUAAAAGAACGUAUUAUGCCACGAUGCUCGUUAAGUGCAUCGCUUAUCCUCGGCCCGAAAUGCUUUGCGAAAUGCCAAUAAUUGGCCCAAAAAUUCGACCGCUUAUCUGCGGUCGCACCUGUCGUCGGGGAAGCGUCCUGUGCAUGCAAAUGCCAUGGACUCACAUACCAAAGAUUGAUAUCUGUAAUAAAUUGCCGCGGUAAACGAGGGUGUAACCUGUUCUACGAGUAAUGAGCUCCAUUGGCGCGAAACCUUCGUACAAGUUUGCAAAUAAAAAAAAUAGCACGUCACCCAAUAUACAAAAUAUUCAACAUAUUAAAUAUUAUAUUGUACUUUUUUUAUUUACAUUAAUAUUGAGCACUAAUCGCUACGAUUGCUUUAAUAUACAAAUACAGUAUGUCGCGUUUUAAAACAACAUCCUAUUUCCCCUUCUAGGUCGUCGAUGGAUAAAAUCGUCGAUAGGGUAGACAUCAAUUUUGAUAAUGGUUUACCAAGGGGCAAAGAUACGCACCGGAUGUUGGGAAAGCGAAGCAAUUUUCAAAAGAGUCGUCGUGCUGAGAUGUCGGGCAUUUUCUCACGGCGUUCCGAGCGUACAACUAUAACUAUAACUAUAUAGCAUGACGGAUGAAGUCUGUAGAAUAUCCAAUGAAGUCGGCGUGCAAACUAAGGCAGAGGUAUGAACACGCGGAUUAUGGACGGUUGCGAUGCGCGGUCCGCGUGCGGCCUCCCCACGAGCGAGCGAGGUUUAGGCGCGUGCGAGCUGGAUUUAUGACCCCCAUUAUGACGUUGACGUAUCGCCUUCGUGAGGGUGGCCUAAAGCAAACCCAAGGCGAAUCUAAGCCCCCGUGUAUCUAAGCCAACGGCUAGCCACAGGUCACCGUGCGACCGGUACGAGAAUACUUUGGGCUAAUCCCGCGGCCAUAUCCGCGACAGCUUUAAUUAACAAUGAGUAUCGUUUCUUUUUUGCGAAUAUAUAACGAUUCGCAUCAUAAUCUUCUUUCGUUCUGCGAAACAAAGUAUUUUUUGAACGUCCGUUAAGAAGAUCAAGUGAUAUAAAUACUUGUUCCUUAUGUUAGCUUCAGAUUCAUUCGAUUACACAGCGUCAAGAAAAGAAAACAUAUCUUUAUUCUACGUUAAUGUUACAUUACGAGGACGGGAGCAGGGGAGAAGAGUGGGACCGAAUAAAAGAGCACAUCCGAAAGUCCAGAACAUCGAAUUAAGGGGCAGCGGACUGCCCCGCCGAGUUAGACAAGCGACGUAAUCGCGGCGCGCCACGAAAAUUAUUGGCAUCUUCCGUUCCAUAAUGGUUGUCUAGCGCCGCAAUAAAGCGGAUGGAACUCCAGGGGAGGGGAAGACAGUGGCAGCGCAUUGACGAUUUAAAGGGCGUGCGAAGUCACUUUUACGCGUCGGAUGCGAAAUCCCACCCCCUCGCGAUUCAAUUUAUAUCCUCUGACCGCGCGCUUCCUGUCUGCGCGGCGCGCACAAUCUUUCGGGAUUGCACCACUUCGUCCACUUCCGGGGGAUUCCACUUCCCCCGUUGCCCCCUCUAUGAAAUACGACAAUGAUUCUAUCGGCAGCGAGCGUCGCGACGAUUCUCGGGAAGGGUGGAAGGGUGACGCAAAUAAAUCGCGUUGCAAAAUGGACCGGGCGGCAUGUUAUAGUGGUCGACGUUACGCAUCGGCGAGUGUCAAAACACCGUGGAGGAGCCGCAACUACGAUGCAUUAAAGGGAACCGAGUUAAUGGACAAACGAGAUCGUCGGAUCGUGGGGGAUCGGUUGCUCAAAGGCAGGCAGGCAGGCAGGCAGGCAGGCAGGCAGGCAGGCAGGCGGCCAUUCGCGAAGGAAUUGUCAAAAUACAUGGCGAAAUUAUCAUAAGUUGAAUGCUGUAAGCAAGAUCCUAACGGAAGAGAUAAAGAGUCCAUAUCUCAUCGAUAUUACGGACACCUCGUUUUUUAAAUCGUUCCUCGAGAAAUAAAUUCGACGAAACUCCAUUCUACCCGGCGCGCCGCGUAAUGUAUCUCUAUUGUAACUUCACUCGAUAGUCGCAAGUCGAUUCCUUCCCUGAGAUCGAGGUCUUGAAUGCGCGGUCAGGGGACUGUACAGAGCUUUACAUCGCCGCGUAUAUGUA